UCCUAUUUCUUUAUGCCUUUGAGUGUUUACUUUGGGUGUUAGACUACAAAAUUCUUUACGGCGACUUAAUAACUCCCAUACUUUUGAGAAAUCAGUAGCUGCACACCCUUUUUCCCUGCUGGAAUAAAUACAUCAGUAUUCCUUAACAAAUGCCUACAAUCAGCAGAAAACACUGCUCCUGAAGAAACGACUGGUUUGAGUUCCACUGUUUUGUUCCACGUCUUGUCUACGUCACUAGGCGACAUAUUGGCAUACUGCUCCCCCUACCGGCAGGGGCUGUGUCCACAGGCUGCUGUUUUUGCUCAGGUCCAAAAUUUUUUCCUCGUUACCGACUGUGACACAAAUAUUACAUCCAUAAAGACAAAUCAGAGGCGGUUGCUAAGCGGAACAGAAUCAGAAGGCCAUAUUGGCGUUUUUUUCUGCCGUUGUUGGCUUGCGUGUGUCGUCACCGGCUACGAGCUUCUGAGAGGAGCGCAGAGGGGCGGAGAGACGACGCCGGAAACCAGAUUUAAACUAAGGUCUGAGCGGGCGCUUCGGUUUGUCAGUACUGCGAGAAAAUGUUCUUACGGAAGAAGCCUGGAUGCUAAAAUAAGCUUUGAAGCUGUUUUUUGUCGAACAGGAGUGAGGCUGGACACUGAGCACACCUGCGGCGCAGAGGUGUCACCACUUUGUCCACGACAUCGUCCACAAUCGCAGAGACAUGGUCCAUGGUUGGAGAGACAUUGUUGAGGAUGAGGGAGACAUCGUCCACGAUCAGAGACAUUGUCCAUGAUCGCAGAGACCUUGUCAAAGAUGAGAGAGACGUUGUCCAUGAUCAGAGACAUUGUCCAUGCUUCGUAGAGACCUUGCGAUAGAAUCGGCGGAGACGGGGGUCACCGAUUUGACGGCAUUGCCCGCGAUCAGGGACAUUGUCGAUGACCACAGAGACACCGUCUAUGAUCUCAGAGACAUCGUCCACGAUCACAAAGACAUAGUCCAUGAACGGAGAGACAUUGUCCAUAAUCUCAGAGACAUUGUCCGCGAUCACUGAGACGUAGUCCGCGAUCACGGAGAUGUAGUCCAAGAUCACAGAGAGUCUUUGUACAAUGGAGAAGUUCUUUCAGACCAAGACAGAGGCCUCCAGGUGACACCACUUUGUCCACAACAUCGUCCGCGAUCGCAGAGACUUUGUCCAUGAUCGGAGAGACA